GGAGGUUGGCUUAGAAGCAGCCAUCCUUGAAAGAGUGCGUAAUAGCUCACUGGUCGAGUGGUUCUGCGCCGAUAAUGUAGCGGGGCUUAAGCACACCGCCGAAACCGCGGCAACACGCUGAAAGUGUGUUGGGUAGGGGAGCGUCGUGCAUGUGUUGAAGCCAGCUGGUGAUAGUUGGUGGAGUGUGUGCGAGUGAGAAUGCAGGCAUGAGUAACGAUUGAUGUGUGAGAAACAUAUCCGCCGGAUGACUAAGGGUUCCUGGGUGAAGUUUUUCUUCCCAGGGUGAGUCGGGGCCUAAGGCGAGGCCGACAGGCGUAGUCGAUGGAUAACGGGUUGAUAUUCCCGUACCCGUGUGCGUGCGACAAGUGAUGAAUCUUAUGGUACUAACCACCCGCCUACGUGCACUGGUCUUUUUGGUUGGUGUGUGUGGGUGCGUGGGAUCUUCGUGGGUAGUAGUCAAGUGAUGGGGUGACGCAGAGUGGUAGCUAGGCUUCCUUAUUGGAUUGGAGUGCAAGCGUGUGGCCUGUGGGGUUGGUAAAUCCGCCCCACAUAUAAGGGUGAGGCGUGAUGCGGACACCACAAGUGGUGGUAGUUAGUGUGCCUGUGCUGCCUAGAAAAGCCUCUAGCGAGUGCGUGCAUGGCCCGUACCGGAAACCGACACAGGUGGUCAGGUAGAGAAUACUAAGGCGUUCGGGUGAACUGUGGUUAAGGAACUCGGCAAAAUGCCCCCGUAACUUCGGGAGAAGGGGGACCAUUACUAGUUGCUGACAGCAUUUUUAGCUGGUGGUGGUCGCAGAGGAGAGAGGGAAGCGACUGUUUAUUAAAAACACAGGUCCGUGCGAAAACGUGGAAGUUGAGGUAUACGGACUGACGCCUGCCCGGUGCUGGAAGGUUAAGAGGACCCGUGAGCACGCCUAUGGUGUGCGAGGCGGAGAAUUGAAGCCCCAGUAAACGGCGGUGGUAACUAUAACCAUCCUAAGGUAGCGAAAUUCCUUGUCGGGUAAGUUCCGACCUGCACGAAUGGCGUAACGACUUCCCUGCUGUCUCAACCACAGGCCCGGUGAAAUUGCAGUACGAGUAAAGAUGCUCGUUUCGCGCGGCAGGACGAAAAGACCCCGGGACCUUUACUAUAGCUUGGUAUUGGUGUUUGGUCAUGCUUGUGUAGGAUAGGUGGGAGACUGUGAAACCGCAACGCUAGUUGUGGUGGAGUCGGCAAGUGAAAUACCACUCUGGUGUGAUUGGGUACCUGAACCUUGGCCCGUGAUCCGGGUUGGGGACAGUGCCUGGUGGGUAGUUUAACUGGGGCGGUUGCCUCCUAAAUGGUAACGGAGGCGCCCAAAGGUUUCCUCAGUCUGGUUGGCAAUCAGAUGGUGAGUGUAAGUGUAUAAGGGAGCUUGACUGUGACACUGACGGGUGGAGCAGGUGCGAAAGCAGGGACUAGUGAUCCGGCAUCUACGUGUGGUUGUGGUGUCGCUCAACGGAUAAAAGGUACCCCGGGGAUAACAGGCUGAUCUUCCCCAAGAGUUCAUAUCGACGGGAUGGUUUGGCACCUCGAUGUCGGCUCGUCGCAUCCUGGGGCUGGAGUAGGUCCCAAGGGUUGGGCUGUUCGCCCAUUAAAGCGGCACGCGAGCUGGGUUUAGAACGUCGUGAGACAGUUCGGUCUCUAUCCGCCGCGCGCGUUGAAACUUGAAGAAGGCUGUCCCUAGUACGAGAGGACCGGGAUGGACGUACCUCUGGUAUGCCAGUUGUUACGCCAGUGGCAUGGCUGGUUAGCUACGUGCGGGAGGGAUAACCGCUGAAAGCAUCUAAGCGGGAAGCCUGUUUUAAGAUGAGGUUUCUAUUGAGGUUCCCUAGAGAUGAUGGGGUUGAUAGGCCAGGGCUGUGAGCAUGGUGACGUGUUGGAGGUGACUGGUACUAAUACACCGACACAAAAAACACC
rnacentral:rRNA from 1 species